AUUGAACGCUGGCGGCAGGCCUAACACAUGCAAGUCGAGCGGAUGAAGGGAGCUUGCUCCUGGAUUCAGCGGCGGACGGGUGAGUAAUGCCUAGGAAUCUGCCUGGUAGUGGGGGAUAACGUCCGGAAACGGGCGCUAAUACCGCCUACGUCCUGCGGGAGAAAGUGGGGGAUCUUCGGACCUCACGCUAUCAGAUGAGCCUAGGUCGGAUUAGCUAGUUGGUGGGGUAAAGGCCUACCAAGGCGACGAUCCGUAACUGGUCUGAGAGGAUGAUCAGUCACUCUGGAACUGAGACACGGUCCAGACUCCUACGGGAGGCAGCAGUGGGGAAUAUUGGACAAUGGGCGAAAGCCUGAUCCAGCCAUGCCGCGUGUGUGAAGAAGGUCUUCGGAUUGUAAAGCACUUUAAGUUGGGAGGAAGGGCAGUAAGUUAAUACCUUGCUGUUUGGACGUUACCAACAGAAUAAGAACCGGCUAACUUCGU
rnacentral:rRNA from 1 species